rnacentral:tRNA from 1 species
GUCCCCAAAGGCCGUCGGCGCAAGCCGGAAAACGGGCUCCCACACUGUCCUCGCCAGCGGAUCUGGCACGAGGUUUCCGAAGCCACGUUGCGCAAGUUCAACUCUUGCCGGGGACG